CACGUAGGGGGCGAGCGUUGUCCGGAUUUAUUGGGCGUAAAGAGCUCGUAGGCGGCUCAGUAAGUCAGGUGUGAAAACUCCAGGCUCAACCUGGAGACGCCACCUGAUACUGCUGUGGCUAGAGUCCGGUAGGGGAGCAUGGAAUUCCUGGUGUAGCGGUGAAAUGCGCAGAUAUCAGGGAGGAACACCAGUGGCGAAAGGCGGUGCUCUGGGCCGGAACUGACGCUGGAGACGCGAAAGCGUGGGGAGCAAACAGG
rnacentral:rRNA from 1 species